GAGUUUGAUCCUGGCUCAGAACGAACGCUGGCGGCAUGCCUAACACAUGCAAGUCGAACGAGACCUUCGGGUCUAGUGGCGCACGGGUGCGUAACGCGUGGGAAUCUGCCCUUGGGUUCGGAAUAACAGUUAGAAAUGACUGCUAAUACCGAAUGAUGUCUUCGGACCAAAGAUUUAUCGCCCAGGGAUGAGCCCGCGUCGGAUUAGCUAGUUGGUAGGGUAAAAGCCUACCAAGGCGACGAUCCGUAGCUGGUCUGAGAGGAUGAUCAGCCACACUGGGACUGAGACACGGCCCAGACUCCUACGGGAGGCAGCAGUGGGGAAUAUUGGACAAUGGGCGAAAGCCUGAUCCAGCAAUGCCGCGUGAGUGAUGAAGGCCUUAGGGUUGUAAAGCUCUUUUACCCGGGAUGAUAAUGACAGUACCGGGAGAAUAAGCCCCGGCUAACUCCGUGCCAGCAGCCGCCGU
rnacentral:rRNA from 1 species